GUAGGUUAACGAAGUUUUUACGAAAACUGUUUGUCCGAUCAAAAACCUGUAUAUGGGGUUGGGGGUUAAAGAGUUUAAGACAUUUUUCAAUUGGAGAUACUGGGGAAAAUAUUUUUGCUUGAGGCCAUAUUUUUGGCAUAGAUCUGCAAAACUACACAAACUAUUAUUUUCAAAAACAUCGGUAACACUUUACAAUACGGUUCCUUAAUUAAUGCGUAAGUACUGCCAUACCUGUCAGUUCUCCCGUUUUGGCCGGGAAACUACCGUAUUUUACCCCUCUUUCCCGCUGUCCUCCCGUAUUAGUAUUUUCCCGUAAAUUUGCCGUAUUAUAAAAUAAAAAAAAACGUAUUAAUGAGUUGUUAUUUUAUCUCUUAACGUCAAUAAGGACGCCAGUUCAAAGAGAAAGUCCCGCCUUUCAGGAGAAACAGCCUAUCAGCUUGCUGUUUUUGCGGAGCGCAGAGGAGGGCCGUAUUUCAUGUAUUUAGUCUAAACCAGUUUCUGAACUCUGCUCACUGCCUCUAAAUUGCGUUCUUUUUUACUGGAUCCAACUGAUCCUUUCCUGAGUUUACCUGUUAAAAUCCCUGAGCCCCCACGAUUGUGAGGCUUUUAAGCCCUGAACAACGUCUCACAGGCUGCAGUGCCUCCAAGGCUGCAGCCCGCCUCUACCAGCUAAACCAAUCAAAUUACAGGAAACUGGAAUCCCGCCCCAUGAGAACACAGCCAACCAGAUUAAGUCAAGGAAUUUCAAGCGCGCAGCUUAACUUUUUUUCUUUUUUUUCAGUGAGCUAGCACAGUAUAACUGCUACAUUUUGGAUUUUUGGAAAGGCUGCAGGUCUGUGUUUCUACAGUCAACCACUUAUACCAAGUGACAGUGGACGAGUUGAGACGAAGAGUUGGGGCCCCGGAAAAUAUGUCUGCAAAUACCCUUGUCUGCUUCCUUCGUGUUCAAAAGAACAAGAAACAGGAGUUGAAACAAAGGCUUCAAAAUGCGUGUGUCAGCCCUGGACCUUUAACAAGUGUGGUGUCAAUGUGCUCAAAAUUAACUGAGGCUGAAGCUUGUGAGCUGGCAGACAGCUUGGGGAAGAUGGCAGUAGCUUACAUUCCAGAUGACAUUCAACUCAUGGAGUUAGCCAACAAGGAUGUUGCACUGGGGAGACUUGCUUUUUUCAAAGACCUUCUAAAUGAAGCCAAAACCCAGCCAAAACAGCCUUUGACUUAGUUACUCAUGACCUUGGCCUAAAAUUAUUCGAUGUUUUCUUUUCAGUCUUGGGAAAGGUGGCAGACUCGGAGAUCAGAAAGUAUAGUUUUAAAACAAAGCUGAAGUUCGUUUUGGUUUUACUUGGCAGUUUAUUGCAAUAAUUUACAUCCAGUUAUCACCUAUGUGGUCUCCCUACUGGUUUGUAGAAUAUUGUAAUUUCAGUGAGUUGCUUUUCCAGAUGUUGUGCUGAAUUCUACCUCACUGACAGAAUCAAACUGAAGUGAAGGUGCAUCACACAGCAGAAUGAGUGUAUCUGAUUCAAAUUUUUUCUGUUUAUAAAUGAGGUUUAAUUUACAGUUACAGUAGAUACAGAAUCACUAGCAUAAUAUGUUGUAUCGAUACAACUGCGCUAUGAAGGGGAGUUGGAUUUCAGCACUGCAUCUUUUUCUUAUUCUAUUGUUUAAUGGGUGAAAAUAAUUGGUCUGAAAAUCAGAAAACCAUUUAGAAACGGGUUUUCACACUGCCUUUGAACAAGACCAUGGUUCAGCACAAUCAGACCUUGACCACUUUUUUUUCGGUUGGACCAAAUAAUGGUCCUAUUUUCUAAACCAUGGUUGAAGGCACCGUUCACACCUGCUAUUUGGUUCAGACCAAACAAGUUAAUGAUUUAGUUAUACUCCAUCCUGUUGUUGAAUUUUGUUACUAGAUUCUAAUAGGCUAAACAGUUAAAAUACGUUUGGACAUUUGGACAUAAAGAUUCAUUUGUGUUUUUCAGAAAGUGAUAUUUUUAUUUUUAGUGCACACUUAAUUUCAGUUUACAUACUAUAAUUGCAUGUAUAAGAAUACAAUUUCGAAUCUUUCCAGUUCUGUAGAAAUUCACACUGUACAUUAUUAUACCAAUUAAUAAAAAAAUUAUUUUACUUGCAAAGUUGCUGUUCUACAGUUACAGGUGUUUUACUUUUAAGUACAUGUAUCUACCACAUAUACUGUACAUUUUCAGACAAACAAUAUAUACAUUGUAAUCUAAUCACUGUUCAUGCAAGCAUUAGUAAUCAAUAUUCCAUAUUAACAUUGGCCACUGUGUUUCAUGUUUCUGCACAAAAGUAAAUAAAAACUGUUUAC